rnacentral:rRNA from 1 species
GACGAACGUUGGCGGCGUGCUUAACACAUGCAAGUCGAACGGAAAGGCCCUGCUUUUGUGGGGUGCUCGAGUGGCGAACGGGUGAGUAACACGUGAGUAACCUGCCCUUGACUUUGGGAUAACUUCAGGAAACUGGGGCUAAUACCGGAUAGGAGCUCCUGCUGCAUGGUGGGGGUUGGAAAGUUUCGGCGGUUGGGGAUGGACUCGCGGCUUAUCAGCUUGUUGGUGGGGUAGUGGCUUACCAAGGCUUUGACGGGUAGCCGGCCUGAGAGGGUGACCGGCCACAUUGGGACUGAGACACGGCCCAGACUCCUACGGGAGGCAGCAGUGGGGAAUAUUGCACAAUGGGCGGAAGCCUGAUGCAGCAACGCCGCGUGCGGGAUGACGGCCUUCGGGUUGUAAACCGCUUUCGCCUGUGACGAAGCGUGAGUGACGGUAAUGGGUAAAGAAGCACCGGCUAACUACGUGCCAGCAGCCGCGGUGAUACGUAGGGUGCGAGCGUUGUCCGGAUUUAUUGGGCGUAAAGGGCUCGUAGGUGGUUGAUCGCGUCGGAAGUGUAAUCUUGGGGCUUAACCCUGAGCGUGCUUUCGAUACGGGUUGACUUGAGGAAGGUAGGGGAGAAUGGAAUUCCUGGUGGAGCGGUGGAAUGCGCAGAUAUCAGGAGGAACACCAGUGGCGAAGGCGGUUCUCUGGGCCUUUCCUGACGCUGAGGAGCGAAAGCGUGGGGAGCGAACAGGCUUAGAUACCCUGGUAGUCCACGCUGUAAACGGUGGGUACUAGGUGUGGGGUCCAUUCCACGGGUUCCGUGCCGUAGCUAACGCUUUAAGUACCCCGCCUGGGGAGUACGGCCGCAAGGCUAAAACUCAAAGGAAUUGACGGGGCCCCGCACAAGCGGCGGAGCAUGCGGAUUAAUUCGAUGCAACGCGUAGAACCUUACCUGGGUUUGACAUGGAUCGGGAGUGCUCAGAGAUGGGUGUGCCUCUUUUGGGGUCGGUUCACAGGUGGUGCAUGGCUGUCGUCAGCUCGUGUCGUGAGAUGUUGGGUUAAGUCCCGCAACGAGCGCAACCCUUGUUCACUGUUGCCAGCACGUUAUGGUGGGGACUCAGUGGAGACCGCCGGGGUCAACUCGGAGGAAGGUGGGGAUGACGUCAAGUCAUCAUGCCCCUUAUGUCCAGGGCUUCACGCAUGCUACAAUGGCUGGUACAGAGAGUGGCGAGCCUGUGAGGGUGAGCGAAUCUCGGAAAGCCGGUCUCAGUUCGGAUUGGGGUCUGCAACUCGACCUCAUGAAGUCGGAGUCGCUAGUAAUCGCAGAUCAGCAACGCUGCGGUGAAUACGUUCCCGGG